rnacentral:tRNA from 1 species
CAGGAUGUGGCUCAGUUGGUAGAGUGUUCGCUUAGCAUGCAGGAAGGCCUGGGUUUGAGCCCCAGUGUAGUGG